GACUUCAUGAAGUUGGAAUCGCUAGUAAUCGCGAAUCAGCAUGUCGCGGUGAAUACGUUCUCGGGGUUUGUACACACCGCCCGUCAAACCACGAAAGUGGACAAUACCCGAAAGCGACAGCCUAACUGCGUAAGCAGAGGGAAUCGUCUAAGGUAGGGUCGAUGAUUGGGGUUAAGUCGUAACAAGGUAUCCCUACCGGAAGGUGGGGAUGGAUCACCUCCUUUCUAAGGAAAUUUUUUAAAAUCAUCAUCUUCAGUUUUGAAAGACUUAAGUUAAUUUAAAAAAAUAAGUUUUUCGUUUUUUUCAUUAGUUAAUUCUUUUAAUAUAAUAUUCUUUAAGAUUUUAAGGGCCUAUAGCUCAGUUGGUUAGAGCACACGCCUGAUAAGCGUGAGGUCGGUGGUUCAAGUCCAUUUAGGCCCACCAGUCUAAAUGUACUGAAAAUCAAAAAAGUUCUUUGAAAAGUAGAUAAACAACGUAAAUUCUCAAAAUAAUGAAGAAAAUAAGGGCGUACAGUGGAUGCCUUGGCACUAAGAGCCGAUGAAGGAC
rnacentral:misc_RNA from 1 species